rnacentral:rRNA from 1 species
GACGAACGCUGGCGGCGUGCUUAACACAUGCAAGUCGAACGGAAAGGCCCUGCUUUUGUGGGGUGCUCGAGGGGCGAACGGGUGAGUAACACGUGAGUAACCUGCCCUUGACUUUGGGAUAACUUCAGGAAACUGGGGCUAAUACCGGAUAGGAGCUCCUGCUGCAGGGUGGGGGUUGGAAAGAUUCGGCGGUUGGGGGUGGACUCGCGGCUUAUCGGCUUGUUGGUGGGGUAGUGGCUUACCAAGGCUUUGACGGGUAGCCGGCCUGAGCGGGUGACCGGCCACAUUGGGCCUGAGCUACGGCCCAGCCCCCUACGGGAGGCAGCGGUGGGGAAUAUUGCACAAUGGGCGGAACCCUGAUGCAGUCACGCCGCGUGCGGGAUGACGGCCUUCGGGUUGUAAACCGCUUUCGCCUGUGCCGAAGCGUGAGUGACGGUAAUGGGUAAAGAAGCACCGGCUAACUACGUG